rnacentral:lncRNA from 1 species
AUUACAUCAUAGGAGUCAAUUGUUGCUCCUAAUGUCUUAUUCUUCAACACUCCUCCAUUACCAACCACCACACACCUUUUACAUGGCACUCUGUUGGGCAAACAGACAAGGGAAAGACUGAGUCAUCACAUUUACAAAACCGGGUGAUUCUAAGAACCUGCUCCUGCUUUCUGGAACCAAGUUAAAUUCCACUUGACACGACCCUUUUCUCCAGCCUGCAGAGCCCGAACUCAUAUCUUUGCUCAACAUCUGCCCAGAGACAUAGAAAACAGAGAGCCCCACGUUCUUCCUUUUUCCUGUGUGGAUACUGGAAUUAAAUCCCUGAUGAAAGGCUUGGCAGAAAACACCCAUAUCUCCCGAGCCAUCUUACUAGCCCCAGGACUUGCUGUUUUUAAAGGAAUGAAGAUGUGAUGGGUUGAACUCCAGCUUGCAUGUUGGCCCCUAAAGAGGAAGCCAUGUACUGAGGAACGGCAGGAUCCAACACAGAGAGGCCUUGGCCCUGAUGACCACAGAACUGCUGAGACAGCCCUGCAGAGUGCAUGCAUGUAAACAAACAGAGACAGACAGACAGAUGGACGGAUGAAUGGACAGAUGGAUAGAUGAACACACAGAUGGACAGAUGAACAGGCAGACAGAAAGAGGGAGAGGGAGAGAGAGAGGGCAACGGAAAAUUAUUGGUACCGGACAUGGCAGCAACCUUUAUAAAGUCAGCUCUGCACAGAAAUGGGUAAAGCUGAGGAAAUCUGAAAAGGAAGAAUGGAGCAUGAUCCUGUCAAAUGCCUGCUUGGCUGUCAGCUGUCUAAGCUC